GAAAAAGGUGGUUUGACUGAUUAUGUUCCCAUAUUGGGGUUAAUUGAAUAAAUUGAAAGACAAUGAGAAGGGGACUCUCCGACUCGGAAACAAUCCCGAUUCAACUAGGCUUGCACGAGGUGGCGGGAGAUCGGACGCAAGGUGAAUUCGAACUAAGAGUUCAACGGAAAGCGGUUGAGAUUCCUCUUCAGAUCCAGUUGCGAAGAACAAAUUUAUCUAAUGCUGCGCUUUAGGUUUGCUUGAUGAAUCGAACCAUGGAGUAGGAAGGUUGUUCGGUCUCCAAAGAAGUGGAAGUGGCAGUCUGCAUGGCCAUGGCUCUGUUCUACGUCGCCGUUGUCCAUGCUCCUGCUUUGAUACUUCCGUCUAUCACCUCCUCCUUCUCUUCAAGUUUACACGAUUCGACGGUGUCUGUUCGCCAUCAUUUUCAGGGCCGUCUCAGUCGUCGUCUGCGCUCUAAUCCAUCCUGUCUCCAUCACAAUGCUGACUUUCCCCAUCUCAUUUUGUUUCAUGCUAGAUAAGGAAAAUGGAGUUUUCACUGUUAUUAGCAGCUUGCGGUAUCCGAGCAGAUCAUAUUUCUGCAUAUUGGAAAGGUGAAAUGAAUCCUAAACCUGCAUCCUGAAUUGCAAUUUUAUCUAUGGAGCAGUGGCAAGCCGUGUUCUUUCCUCUUUCAUUGACUUCUUUAAUGUAGGUUGGAUCAAUUGUUUUAAAGUCUUUGUUAUUGGUGGAUUCAUGGAGAGAGCAUAUGAAUCACAGAGAAGGCACCCUUUCGGACUGUGCUGAAUUUUUUUGGACAAGAGUUCUUGAUCGGGGACUAUUAACAGUCUCAAAUCUUUUAGCUUGGAGAAAUUGUGUUGUGGCUCCACUAACUGCGGAGUUGGUGUUUUGAGCAUUCACGAUACCAGUUCUUCUAUCUGGGGGGAUUUAAGCCAACUACUGUGAUAUUUCUCUGCUCCAUUCUUUUCAGUCUGGGCAAUCUUCUUGCCCCGUUAGUUGCUCAUGUUUUUUGCAACCUUAUGGGAUUACCUGCUUUUUUUUCUCAAAGAAGAGGAGCACGAGGAUGAAGCUUUAAUGAGGAUGGAGCUUUAAUGAGGAUGAAGCUUUAACCGAUCUCAAGAAACUCGAUCAGAGGUAAUUGGUUGAGAUUUAUCAAUAAAGUGAAAUUAUAUCAAUAUAAUUGAGUUAGGUAAAUAAUUGAAGCUAUUUUUUCUACCUCAAAUAAGAAUAAAGAAAUAUAAAUCUUAAUUUCAAACAAGUCUCUCUCUUUACCCAGCUCAACCCCUUCCAUGCAAGAUAACCACAUGUCUCAAACCAAUAAAAAGAAGAAAAAGAAAAAACCAUGACAAUGUAACGUAAAAUCAGAACUUAGGAAGGAAGAUAUGAACAUGCAUAUAAUUAAUAGGCUUUUAAAAACAUUCCCACAUGGUUGUCUUCACUAGACAAUUCAUUAUUCUUUCAAAUCUUCUAAAUGAUCUCCUACCCUUUAUUACCCAAUUAAAUAAAAUUUUAAAAACAAAACAAAAGAUAGAGAAAUACCUGCCCUGUUCAUCUUUUUGGGAAUCUUGGCUUUGAAACUUACCAAAAACUACAAACAAAAAUGAUAAUGAAGCCACUUGAAAUUGGGUGCCUUACUGAUUUUCUUUAUUGCAAAGACAUGAUUUUUAAUACUUGUCUCAAGUGUUAAAAUUAAAUGGAUAUGAACAAACCCAUUUAAGAUUGUUUAAUUCAAUCAAAAUUAGAUAUGAGAGAGAGAAAGAAAGAGCUUAUAGUCUGAAAAUGGUUUUCCAUUAGAUAGCCUGAUACAUCAUUUUGAAGUACAGAAAAUCCAUAUCCUAACCCCCAAAAAAGAAGAUAUGAAAAAAGAAAUUAAAAAAAAAAAAAAACUGAUAGAGAGAGAAAGAAGAUGCUAAAGCUACAGACUGUCCUACAUAACUGAAAACCCAAACUACAUGCUACUGUUGGCUAUGGCAAUUCACAAAAAAUGAAACCAUUAAAAAAAAA